rnacentral:rRNA from 2 species
GAGACGCUGGCGGCGUGCCUAAUACAUGCAAGUCGAACGCACUGACGUCGACCGAAGCUGCUUGCAGUGGACGUUGAUUGACGUGAGUGGCGGACGGGUGAGUAACACGUGGGUAACCUACCCUUAAGUGGGGGAUAACAUUUGGAAACAGAUGCUAAUACCGCAUAACCAUUCAGACCACAUGGUCUGAAUGUAAAAGACGGCCUUUGGCUGUCACUUUUGGACGGACCCGCGGCGUAUUAGUUAGUUGGUAAGGUAACGGCUUACCAAGACAAUGAUACGUAGCCGACCUGAGAGGGUAAUCGGCCACAUUGGGACUGAGACACGGCCCAAACUCCUACGGGAGGCAGCAGUAGGGAAUCUUCCACAAUGGACGAAAGUCUGAUGGAGCAACGCCGCGUGAGUGAAGAAGGUUUUAGGAUCGUAAAACUCUGUUGUUGGAGAAGAACAAGGGACUAGAGUAACUGUUAGUCCCUUUGACGGUAUCCAACCAGAAAGCCACGGCUAACUACGUGCCAGCAGCCGCGGUAAUACGUAGGUGGCAAGCGUUGUCCGGAUUUAUUUGGGCGUAAAGCGAGCGCAGGCGGUUUUUUAAGUCUGAUGUGAAAGCCUUCGGCUUAACCGAAGAAGUGCAUUAGAAACUGGGAAACUUGAGUGCAGAAGAGGACAGUGGAACUCCAUGUGUAGCGGUGAAAUGCGUAGAUAUAUGGAAGAACACCAGUGGCGAAGGCGGCUGUCUGGUCUGUAACUGACGCUGAGGCUCGAAAGUAUGGGGAGCGAACAGGAUUAGAUACCCUGGUAGUCCAUACCGUAAACGAUGAAUGCUAAGUGUUGGAGGGUUUCCGCCCUUCAGUGCUGCAGCUAACGCAUUAAGCAUUUCCGCCUGGGGAGUACGACCGCAAGGUUGAAAACUCAAAGGAAAUUGACGGGGGCCCGCACAAGCGGUGGAGCAUGUGGUUUAAUUCGAAGCAACGCGAAGAACCUUACCAGGUCUUGACAUCCUUUGACCACUGUAGAGAUACAGCUUUCCCUUUCGGGGACAAAGUGACAGGUGGUGCAUGGUUGUCGUCAGCUCGUGUCGUGAGAUGUUGGGUUAAGUCCCGCAACGAGCGCAACCCUUAUGACUAGUUGCCAGCAUUUAGUUGGGCACUCUAGUAAGACUGCCGGUGACAAACCGGAGGAAGGUGGGGAUGACGUCAAAUCAGCAUGCCCCUUAUGACCUGGGCUACACACGUGCUACAAUGGUCGGUACAACGAGUUGCGAACCCGCGAGGGUAAGCUAAUCUCUUAAAGCCGAUCUCAGUUCGGAUUGUAGGCUGCAACUCGCCUACAUGAAGCCGGAAUCGCUAGUAAUCGCGGAUCAGCACGCCGCGGUGAAUACGUUCCCGGGCCUUGUACACACCGCCCGUCACACCAUGAGAGUUUGUAACACCCGAAGUCGGUGGGGUAACCCUUUUAGGGAACUAGCCGCCUAAGGUGGGACAGAUGAUUGGGGAA